GACGAACGCUGGCGGCGUGCCUAAUACAUGCAAGUCGAACGAGAGCGACCGGUGCUUGCACUGGUCAAUCUAGUGGCGAACGUGUGAGUAACACGUGGGUAACCUGCCCAUCAGAGGGGGAUAACAUCCGGAAACGGAUGCUAAAACCGCAUAGGUCUUCGAACCGCAUGGUUUGAAGAGGAAAAGAGGCGCAAGCUUCUGCUGAUGGAUGGACCCGCGGUGCAUUAGCUAGUUGGUGAGGUAACGGCUCACCAAGGCCGUGAUGCAUAGCCGACCUGAGAGGGUGAUCGGCCACAUUGGGACUGAGACACGGCCCAAACUCCUACGGGAGGCAGCAGUAGGGAAUCUUCCGCAAUGGACGCAAGUCUGACGGAGCAACGCCGCGUGAGUGAAGAAGGUUUUCGGAUCGUAAAACUCUGUUGUUAGAGAAGAACAAGUGCUAGAGUAACUGUUAGCGCCUUGACGGUAUCUAACCAGAAAGCCACGGCUAACUACGUG
rnacentral:rRNA from 1 species